rnacentral:rRNA from 1 species
UACGUAGGGUGCAAGCGUUAAUCGGAAUUACUGGGCGUAAAGGGCUCGCAGGCGGCCGACUAAGUCAGACGUGAAAUCCCUUGGCUUAACCAAGGAAUGGCGUCUGAUACUGGACGGCUUGAAUUCGGGAGAGGGAUGUGGAAUUCCAGGUGUAGCGGUGAAAUGCGUAGAUAUCUGGAGGAACACCGGUGGCGAAGGCGGCAUCCUGGACCGAUAUUGACGCUGAGGAGCGAAAGCCAGGGGAGCAAACGGG